CACCUGGUGCCUGGGACUGCCAGCUUCACUCCCUUCUUCAUGUAUGCACUUGGCGCCUAGAACUGCUUAGAUUAAGGCAGCUUCACCUCCUCCUCCAUGUCUCCGUUUGGUGCCUGGGACUGUUUAUGGCACUCCAAGAUAGCUACAAGAUGUUUGAUGGCUUCCUGGGACUGUUUAGUUAGGGUGGACACACCAAGAUAAACUACAGAAUGUUGAAGGCUUCCCGGGACUGUUUUAGGGCCGACAUUCCAAGAUAAGCUGCAAGAAGCCUGCACUCAGCAUCUGCCCCAGAUGUCCAUCCCUCUCUCUGUGCUUUGAUUAUACCCCCUCGACUCCUCCCUAUUUUCUCUCACUCUGUGCUUAUAAUCAGGCUCCCAGCCUCCAUUAAACAAACCUUGACAACUCUUUGCUUUGUCUCACUUCCCUUUCUCUGCCCGUUUCUCUUGCAGGCCUCAGUCUUCCUAGACACACGGAAUAACUAAGUGCUGCUGGACGGGAUAGUUCAGUACUUGCUACCUGGCCUUACAGCAGGAGUUUGAGCAUUGGAUGUCACUUGGUGAAAUGACAGAACUGACCUUUAGUUUCUGAACUCUACUUGCAUGACAUAGAAGUCAGUUUCCAUUUUAUACAAAAAGAAUUGUCUAAGGCUUUUCUGUGAGGAGCUUGAAAAUCUGUCAUAACUAACAUACACUAACUAAGGUGUUUUCAUGUGGACUUAAGAGGAUUACAGUGAUGGAAAUGGAGAGGAACCUGAGGAAAAG